CAGUAAUUGAAAUGACUUCUGACAAUGUCUAGUUUAUACAAUUUAUUUCCACGAGCAGAGUACUUCACAAAUAUUUUCUUAUUUUAUAAUAAAGUAAAAUUAAGUAUAGAUAUACUAUAAUUUUUCUAGUAAGAAAAUGCCACUAGCUAUAAGUACAAGCCACUCACAGUCGAGAGCGAGACUUACCGUACUGAUGGCUCUUAAUAUAACGGGAGCCAUAUUAUGCAUAUGCUUAGAGAUCCUGUUGGUUCUAGCCGCUCUUGGAGUGAUUUUUCGAGAGCCUGAUGUUUCUCCAGUGAUUAAUUAUCAUAUUAAAUCAUUUUCUAAUGCGGAUUUUGACCAAAGCUUGCCUGCAAUUGAGGAUGGUAACCUAUUCUACCUAAGUAAUUUGGAUGUAUUCAAAACCGACAAACUGAAUAAAAACUAAUUUUGAUAAUUGGAA